UACGGGGGGGGCAAGCGUUGUUCGGAAUUACUGGGCGUAAAGGGCGCGUAGGCGGCCAUCUAAGUCAGACGUGAAAUCCCUCGGCUCAACCGAGGAACUGCGUCUGAUACUGGAAGGCUUGAAUCCGGGAGAGGGAUGUGGAAUUCCAGGUGUAGCGGUGAAAUGCGUAGAUAUCUGGAGGAACACCGGUGGCGAAGGCGGCAUCCUGGACCGGUAUUGACGCUGAGGCGCGAAAGCGUGGGGAGCAAACAGG
rnacentral:rRNA from 1 species